AUGGUUGGCGAUUUCAUUAGGCCUAUUGAUCCAUCUUUCUCUGAACCGCACCCCAUACUAAGGAAAACAAAGUUCUGGCCUCAUUUCAAAAAUGCUAUUGGAGCCAUAGAUGGAACACACAUUGAAGUGAUUGUGCCUAAGGAGUUGGAGCCACAACACAGGAAUAGGAAAGGGGUUACAAGUGAAAAUGUCAUGGCAGUCUGUGAUUUUGAUAUGAGGUUCACUUUUGUUGUUCCUGGAUGGCCCGGAUCUGUUCAUGACACACGUGUAUGGAGCGAUGCUAUAGUUCGUUAUGAUCAUUUUCCACAACCUCCCACAGAUAAAUAUUACCUUGUGGACUCCGGAUAUCCAAACAGGGUUGGAUAUCUAGCACCAUACAAAGGGCAACGAUACCAUGUACCAGAGUUCCAACAACACCCACCCAUUGGUAGACAUGAGACAUUCAACCAUCGUCAUUCUUCUUUGCAAAAUGUCAUUGAAAGAACAUUCGGUGUUCUCAAGAUGAAAUGGCGAAUUCUUGGAGGCAUACCACGGUACAAACCGAAGAUCCAAAAGAUGAUUGAUCGAGCCGGAAUGAUGAUAUACAAGAUAGAGUUGGGGUAG
rnacentral:rRNA from 1 species